CUAUUGGAUGGCCAGAAUACAAAUCCUUGUGUCAGGGUACAAAUCUUCAAACUGAUGGAUUUUUUUUUACUUUAUCUGAGGUCGUAGUAGAUCCCAUGCUCGGGGACAAAUCCAGGCUCUUUUUCCACGUCCCAUGUGCUCCAGAACAAUAAUUCAAGACACAUGUGUUUACCCGCUGGUAAUCCAGAGACCAGCUGUUUCCUCCCUGUGCGACGUGAGUGCUCCUUUCUGUCACACAACUGUAGGACUUGCUGAGGACCAGGACGGAACAAGUGAAGGAUCAGAGCAUAUGUGUUAUUGUUUGCUGUACGUUGCUCUUCCUGGUGUGUUUAUAAGGCUUUGGUCUUCCCAAAGAAAAUAUUUCUAUAUUUUAUGGAAAUAUAAUUAGAGGUAUAAUAAGUGUUUUAAAAUACUUGAUAGACUGUAGUCGGAGGUCAAAGAGCGUGAGAGCCCAAAUGCGUAGGUAUUCUCCUGCUCUCUCUGAACUGCCCGGCAGCAAGCAGUGCUGAGACACACUCUUUGAAAUACCAUUGCUAUUGGAUAGAUUUACAUCUAAUUCAUUCUAUACUUUUACUUUCGAACCCUUUGACUUUGUUGUUUCUUAUCACAGAUCUGCAAAUGUAUAUAAAAAAGGAAAACACAAGUUUUUCAGCUGUUGUUGUUGCCAGGGAAGCCCGCAGUGAGAAGCAGAGAUGAGCUAUAUUAGAUUUUUUGUAGAGAAAUGAAUGCAUGGUGGGGAGAGAGGCAAGAGAGGAGACAGGACAUGACCGUUCCUUACUCUGCCAGGGAAAAGGUUUGAAAUAGACAGCAAUUAUCUUCUGAAGAAGCAGCAUGGAUAGGAAAAGCCCAGGACUAUUAGAACCACUUAUUUCUCAAGAGACAUAAUGAUAAUGAGGGCUAGCAGGGCAGUAAUACCACAAAAAUAGCUCUUUCUAUAUACUCUUAUAAACUAUCUUCUUUGCACUGGGCCAAGCCAGCAAGAGAAGAAUCAUAAAGAAACCAAAAGAAAAAAAAUUAACUGAACAUCUUUCCACCAAAAUAAAAGUGGAAGAAGUGAGCAAAUAAGCACGUAUCACUAAGGCCAUGUUUUAACCAGCAUCAGCUCAUCAUUACACGGGACAUCGCUUGUAUCCUGCUUUUUGAAACAGCUGGUGUAAAUCACUCAACUAGCAACUCAUUGAAAUGCAAACAAACAAGAUCAUCUUAUGAGUUGACCUGAUGUAUUACGACAAGAAAUAUUUUGGCUUCUGCAGUCAUCAUCACUUGUGUUUACAAACUGUCAGCUGCUUCCAAGGUGUAAGCUUAUCACCUCCAGAAUAUUAAAGUUCCAGAAAAAGAACGUGUCUAAAAAGUUUGAGAAGAAUAUUUAUAAAAAUGGACUGCUGGCAAAGUUGCUGUUGUUCAUUUUAUGCCACGGAGGUUUAUGGGUGAAAACCUGUCUAGUUUUUUGUGUGUAUAUUAAAUGAGAAAGAUUAGCUAAAUAUCCUUUCUAGAGAUGGAUUAUGUGAACUCUUAAACAUUCUUAGUAUUCAUUUAGAAAAAUAAGUCUGACACGAGAGUGCCAUUAAUAUCACUGGCUAUAUAUACAACAAAAAAAGAGAGGGAUGGAGAGAGAAAAACACGACAAAAAAUCUGGUAUUCAUAAUCACUGCAGCAAGGAUAGGAAUUUUACCUUUUCAAGCAUUCACUAAUUCCAUGAGUGUUCAUAUCUCCCUAUGGUGUUGCAUUUCUACCAAGUGAUCUCAAAUUUACAUAGAAGCAAACAAGGGCAAAAUGUUUUACAGAAAACAGUGGCUUUGUGUGGGCAGACAUCAAGGCAGAGCGAGGGCUGUUUAUCAAAACUUCCAGUUUAUUCUCCUGCGAGUUGAGCGUUGCUGAGAAUUUUUAUCUCAACAGUGAUUAUCUGCUAUUGCCACUUUCUGCCCCUAAAAGUUUCUGGUUCUUGUCUACUCUUGCUGGACAAGUGUGCCUGUGCAGGACCAAAACCCUGAUAAUUUUAUUCUGAAUUGAGAAAAAAUGAAAGCUUUGGUUUGGCACAAUGUCUUUGUGAGGAGGACACACACAUUGCCCUGUGAAGUCCUUAGCAGUGCAGCCGGGACGACAAGGUUUUCAUGUACUCAUGCGUGAGGAAUGCAGCUCUCCAUGAAUUCAAUGGUGGGGCAGAUUUGUCUUUUGAGAUUAAAACUCUUACUAAUCUGCUGGGAGCAUAUGAUUUCAAAGAGUGUGUCUGACUACAAUGAAUGGCACUCCUGCAUGCUGAGCACUCCUGCUGCACGCUUCAGCAAAGCGCAUCUUGCAGACAUUUUUGUUGCUGUAAAUCACCCCAGAGUUAACAGAAGUCUGCCACAUAGCUGGUCACAGUCUAAAAGUUUCUUGAACAUAGAAGGACUUUUCUGGUUUGAGAAAGAUUCUUCAAGCUACAUUCUGGCCCCAUGGAUGUUAAUAGUUUUGUCGUCGAUUUCAGCAAGGCCAGAAUUUCAACCCUGUUGACUGAGGGAUAUCUGCAAAAAAAGGAAGUAUUUAACCAGUUACUGCUUAGAACUUAAACUGGUCUGGUCUCUGUGGCUACAGCUUACAUCUACAGUCUUCAUAAAACAAAAUAUACCUACUUACAAGCUAUUGGUUCCUGCAAUGGUACUUUCUAUUUUCACCAGUGAGACUAUAUCAAAAUGCAGGUGUUUGCGCCCAGGCUGGAUGGGGUCCUGGGCAGCCUCAUCUGCUGUCUGAUUCAGUGGUUAGCAACCUCGAUCACAGCAGGGGACUGGAACUCGAUGACCUCUGUGGACCUUUCCAACCCAAGCCAUUCUAUGAUUCUGUGAAUGUCCUUUGAAAAUGUAGCAAGCAAAACAAAUGAAUCUGAGCCAUAGAUUUUACUUCACAUGAACUAAGUGGCAUUAAGGGUUGCUGUAUUUUUCUGGACUCAGUUGCAGAGUUUCUUCAGCAAAGACAGCUUCCAGCAGGAAAAAAAAACACAAUCUAUUCUUGGAGCUGUGUGAAAAUUUGAAGGUUGUCUUUAUCCUCCCAAAUGUAAAUCCUGCCUGCCCACGUUAGCAUCUCUGAAUCUUAGAAAAAGUGAGUAAAGGUGAGAAUUUCACCCAUAAUACAGUAGCUGCAUGCUGACAAUUAACAAGGGAAGCACCUAGUCAGAUUUGUACAUGAAAUUCAAUGACAAUAAACAUCCUGAGUACUUGGAGUGUGGUCUUUGUGCAGCACGGAACUUUCACUGAGUGUUCCCCACAAGCAAGACUUGUGUUGCAAACAACUGAGGAAUAAAAAGACUUCUCACCCAUAUUAGGUUUUUAUGAAACACUUCUGAGUCCUCCCUCCCAGCAAGAAGCCUGGCAC
rnacentral:lncRNA from 1 species